rnacentral:snRNA from 1 species
GUGCUCACUUCAGCAGUUCCUACAUUAAAAUUGGAAUGAUACAAAGAUUAGCAUGGGCCCUGCAAAAGGAUGACACAAAAACUUGUGAAGUGUUCCAUAUAUUU